rnacentral:tRNA from 1 species
GGUGGGGUAGCUCAGUCGGUUAGAGCAUCAGAAUCAUAAUCUGAGGGUCGGCGGUUCAAGUCCGCCUCUCACUACCA